GUGCCAGCCGCCGCGGUAAUACCGGCAGCACGAGUGAUGGCCGCUAUUAUUGGGCCUAAAGCGUCCGUAGCCGGCCGGGCAAGUCCGUCGGGAAAUCCACCCGCUUAACGGGUGGGCGUCCGGCGGAAACUGUUCGGCUUGGGGCCGGAGGACCCGAGGGGUACGUCCGGGGUAGGAGUGAAAUCCUGUAAUCCUGGACGGACCGCCGGUGGCGAAAGCGCCUCGGGAAGACGGACCCGACAGUGAGGGACGAAAGCUGGGAUCUCGAACCGGAUUAGAAACCCCGGUAGUCC
rnacentral:rRNA from 1 species